rnacentral:rRNA from 1 species
UACAGAGGUGGCAAGCGUUGUUCGGAAUUAUUGGGCGUAAAGCGCACGUAGGCGGUUCGUUAAGUCGGAUGUGAAAGCCCUCGGCUCAACUGAGGAAGUGCACCCGAAACUGGCGAGCUUGAGUACGAAAGAGGAUCGCGGAAUUCCCGGUGUAGAGGUGAAAUUCGUAGAUAUCGGGAGGAACACCGGUGGCGAAGGCGGCGAUCUGGGUCGAUACUGACGCUGAGGUGCGAAAGCGUGGGGAGCAAACAGG